AUUGAACGCUGGCGGCAGGCCUAACACAUGCAAGUCGAACGAGUGGCGGACGGGUGAGUAAUGUCUGGGAAACUGCCCGAUGGAGGGGGAUAACUACUGGAAACGGUAGCUAAUACCGCAUACCAUCGGAUGUGCCCAGAUGGGAUUAGCUUGUAGGUGAGGUAACGGCUCACCUAGGCGACGAUCCCUAGCUGGUCUGAGAGGAUGACCAGACACACUAGAAAUGAGACACGGGCCAGACGCCUGCGUGAGGCAGCAGUGGGGAAUAGUGCACAAUGGGCUGAAGCCUGAUGCAGCCAGGCCGCGUGUAUGAAGAGGGCCUUUGGGUUGUAAAGGACGUUCAGCGGGGAGGCGUUACCCGCAGAAGAAGCACCGUCUAACUCCGUGCCAGCAGCCGCGGUAAGUC
rnacentral:rRNA from 1 species